AGCGAACGCUGGCGGCAGGCUUAACACAUGCAAGUCGAGCGGGCAUCCUUGUGGUGUCAGCGGCAGACGGGUGAGUAACGCGUGGGAACGUGCCCUUCGGUUCGGAAUAACUCAGGGAAACUUGAGCUAAUACCGGAUACGUGCGAGAGCAGAAAGGUUUAUCUGCCGAAGGAUCGGCCCGCGUCUGAUUAGCUAGUUGGUGAGGUUAUGGCUCACCAAGGCGACGAUCAGUAGCUGGUCUGAGAGGAUGAUCAGCCACACUGGGACUGAGACACGGCCCAGACUCCUACGGGAGGCAGCAGUAGGGAAUAUUGGACAAUGGGGGCAACCCUGAUCCAGCCAUGCCGCGUGAGUGAUGACGGCCUUAGGGUUGUAAAGCUCUUUUCUCCGGGACGAUAAUGACGGUACCGGAGGAAUAAGCCCCGGCUAACUUCGUG
rnacentral:rRNA from 1 species